rnacentral:misc_RNA from 1 species
AAGUCGUAACAAGGUUUCCGUAGGUGAACCUGCGGAAGGAUCAUUAAGAAUGAGAGCCGGACCAUAUCGUGGGCGAAAGCUCGCACGUGCCAUGUCAAGCGUCCCGUAAACCUCCCACCCUUGUGUAUUAAUUCCUUCUGUUGCUUUGGCAGGCCGCGACCCUCUGGGGGAGCGCUGGCAUUUGGCUUGGAGAGUGCCUGCCAGAGGACCAAACUCUGUAAUUUAAUGCCGUCUGAGAUACUACGAAAAUAGUUAAAA